CAGCAGCCGCGGUAAUACAGAGGGUGCUAGCGUUAAUCGGAUUUACUGGGCGUAAAGCGUGUGUAGGUGGUUGUUCAAGUCAGUUGUGAAAUCCCUGGGCUUAACCUGGGAACUGCUUCUGAGACUGAACGACUAGAGUACGGUAGAGGGUGGUGGAAUUUCCGGUGUAGCGGUGAAAUGCGUAGAUAUCGGAAGGAACAUCAAUGGCGAAGGCAGCCACCUGGGCCUGUACUGACACUGAGACACGAAAGCGUGGGGAUCAAACAGGAUUAGAUACCCUGGUAGUCCACGCCGUAAACGAUGAGAACUUGACGUCGGUUUGCUCUGCAAGUCGGUGUCGUAGCUAACGCGAUAAGUUCUCCGCCUGGGGAGUACGGCCGCAAGGUUGAAACUCAAAGGAAUUGACGGA
rnacentral:rRNA from 1 species